GAUGAACGCUGGCGGCGUGCCUAAUACAUGCAAGUCGAACGAACGGACGAUACGCUUGCUUCUCUGAUGUUAGCCGCGCACGUGUGUGUCACACGUGUAUCACCUCCCUAUAUGACUGGUAUCACUUCGGGAAACCGGCGCUUAUACCGGAUAAUAUCUUGCACCGCAUUGUUCAUAAGUGAAAGACGGUCUUUCUGUCUCUUAUAGCUGCAUCCGCGCUGCAUUAGCUAGUUGGUAAGGUAACGGCUUACCAAGGCAACGAUGCAUAGCCGACCUGAGAGGGGGAUCGGCCACACGGGAAGUGAGACACGGUCAAGACGACUAAGGGAGGCAGCAGUAGGGAAUGUGCCGCAAUGGGCGAAAGCAUGACGGAGCAACGGCGCGUGAGUGAUGAAGGUCUUCGGAUCGGAAAACUCUGUUAUGAGGGAAGAACAGAUGUGUAAGGAAAUGUGCAGAUAGUGACGGUACCUAAUCAGAAAGCCACGGCUAACUACGUG
rnacentral:rRNA from 1 species